AGCUUGUUAGUUUAUGUUUAAAAUUUUUGUUUGUGGUACAAAAGAAAGUAUUAGCUAU
rnacentral:tRNA from 1 species